UGCACACCACCGACACAGCCGGCUGUAAUGCCAGUACGGGGAAAGAAAGGAGUCUCAGACGCCAAGGAAAACAGAAAACCGGACUGGGUGAGGGUUUGCCCUGUGCAGCAGACUUACGUGAUCCUCAGAGCUCCUGGUCUGUGAGGGCUGCAUGUCGACUGUACAGCUCCAGCUAUAUCGACAUACAACACACAACUGGUAACCCAC